rnacentral:rRNA from 1 species
UGAGCAAUCUGCCCUUCUCUUUGGAAUAAGCGUUGGAAACGACGUCUAAUGCCGAAUACGACCUCCUUUCGCAUGAUCGGAGGUGGAAAGCUCCGGCGGAGAAGGAUGAGCUCGCGGCCCAUCAGCUAGUUGGUGUGGGUAAUGGCCCACCAAGGCGACGACGGGUAGCCGGCCUGAGAGGGUGACCGGCCACACGUGGGACUGAGACACGGCCCAGACCUCCGUACGGGAGGNAGCG